rnacentral:rRNA from 1 species
UACGGGGGGAGCAAGCGUUGUUCGGAUUUACUGGGCGUAAAGGGCGCGUAGGCGGUCGUGACAAGUCACUUGUGAAAUCUCCGGGCUUAACUCGGAACGGUCAAGUGAUACUGUCGGACUAGAGUACAGAAGGGGCAACUGGAAUCUCGGUGUAGCGGUGAAAUGCGCAGAUAUCAGGAGGAACACCUAUGCGAAGGCAGCCAAUCUGGACCGACACUGACGCUGAGGAGCGAAAGCCGUGGGGAGCGAACAGGAUAGAAACC